AUACGGAGGGUGCAAGCGUUACUCGGAAUCACUGGGCGUAAAGCGCGCGCAGGCGGCUAUUUAAGUUGGAAGUGAAAGCCUACGGCUCAACCGUAGAACUGCAUCCAAAACUAUUUAGCUAGAGUGUGGGAGAGGAAGAUGGAAUUAGUUGUGUAGGGGUAAAAUCCGUAGAGAUAGCUAGGAUACCAAAAGCGAAGGCAAUCUUCUGGAACACUACUGACGCUGAGGCGCGAAAGCGUGGGGAGCAAACAGGAGUAGAAACCCUAGUAGUCC
rnacentral:rRNA from 1 species